UACGUAGGCAGCAAACGUUGUUCGGAGUUACUGGGCGUAAAGAGUACGUAGGCGGUUUGCCAAGUUUGGUGUGAAAUCUCCUGGCCUAACUGGGAGGGUGCGCCGAAUACUGGCGGGCUUGAGUAUUGGAGAGGAAAGCGGAAUUCCUGGUGUAGCGGUGAAAUGCGUAGAUAUCAGGAGGAACACCGGUGGUGUAGACGGCUUUCUGGACAAUCACUGACGCUGAGGUACGAAAGCGUGGGUAGCAAACAGG
rnacentral:rRNA from 1 species